rnacentral:rRNA from 1 species
GACGAACCGUGCGAACGUUAUUCGGAAUCACUGGGCUUAAAGCGCGUGUAGGCGGCCACGCAGGUCCGCUGUGAAAACUCGAGGCUCAACCUCGAGCUGUCGGUGGAAACCGCGUGGCUAGAGUCCGGAAGAGGGGACUGGAAUUCCCGGUGUAGCGGUGGAAUGCGCAGAUAUCGGGAGGAACACCCGUGGCGAAGGCGGGUCCCUGGGACGGUACUGACGCGAGACGCGAAAGCGUGGGGAGGCGAAACAGG